rnacentral:siRNA from 1 species
GUGGACACUUUUAGAGGAG